CGCCUGGUCAUUGUUCCUGGCUGGAACAGGGUGAGACUGGACAUCUGGCUGAGCUGGAGCCAAAGGAGAUAGAGAAGAAGAAAUCAUAGCUCCCACGUUUCCUCCGGUGCAGUGGAGGCCAGGUCCAAACCUGGGUGAUGCACAUGACAAAGAAAAUGCACUAUCCAGCUUCAUCUCCCCACAGUGGGGGAGUGGGAUCUGGGACUUCAGAGGCCCUCAAGCUGGAUCUGGCUGAGUGUGUGUGUGGAGGAGAGUGGGAAGAGGACUUGGGGCUGCAGAAGGAGGAGUAGAGCAUAGAGCAAUCGCUCAGAGGUGCUGCUGGACUCUGUCCCCUUGCUGGACAUAGGCUGGCAAUGGUCAGUGAGCUGCUGGUGACCAGCCCCCCCUGCUUCACAAUCAGCUGAAAGAACCUCACAUUUUCACUCCACCCCAAACCACACCCUCCUUCUGGAGGAGGCUCAGCAGACUCAUGAGGAAGAGAGCACUGUCUCUGAACCACACCCCCACUUCUGAAAAGCCGACACCCCUACCAGCCCCCUCUUUCUUGGCUCCAAACACCCCAUGUGCCCCCUCACUUGUCUCCAUGCCUCCAUCCCUGACUCUCUUGCCCAUCUUGUACAGUAUGGGCAGGGGCUUCCUCCUGGAAUACAAACCUAACCGUACAACUUCCAGGCUCCCUGUUGAGCUCCAGGCACAUCAGCACCUGAACUUGGCCCUGACUGAAGUGAACCCUACUGCCAGGCAACUCAUCCGAUGCCUCCCUGCUCACCUCUCUGCCUCCAAUAGAGCCCACACAGCCCCGUGGGCCUAACUUUGCUGGGGGACACCUCUUCUAUUUUUUAUUUUAUUUACCAGAGCACUGCUCAGCUCUGGCUUAUGGUGACACUGGGGGUUGAACCUGAAACCUCAGAGGCUCAGACAUGAGUCUUUUACAUAACCAAUAUGCUGUCUCCCCAGCCUUGAUGUUUGUAUAUUUGAGUGACGAAAGCAAUAUAUGUAACACUUUUUAUAAAUUUGUCAUUUACUAUAUUUGUUUUCAAUGUCUAGACUGCAUAAAUAUUUAUUAAAUGAAUGAAUUAUGCAGUCUUCUUUUUACCAGAACACUCACUAUUCAGCUCUGGUUUAUGGUGGUGUGUGGGAUUGAACCUGGGACUCUGGAGCCUCAUGAGAGUCUGUUCGUAUAACCAUUAUCCUAUCUACCCUCCAUCCUAAUAUCUUCUUUUUUUAACAUAAUUAAUUAAUUAAUUAAUUAUAUAGAAACAGAAAUUGAGAGGAAAAGGGGAGGGAGAGAUAUAGAAAGAGAGACACUUGCAGCACUAUUUCACCACUCACGAACCUUCCCUCCUGCAGGUGGGGAAUGGGGGCUUGA